UGGGGAAUUUUGGACAAUGGGCGAAAGCCUGAUCCAGCAAUGCCGCGUGUGUGAAGAAGGCCUUCGGGUUGUAAAGCACUUUUGUCCGGAAAGAAAUCCUUGGCUCUAAUACAGUCGGGGGAUGACGGUACCGGAAGAAUAAGCACCGGCUAACUACGUGCCAGCAGCCGCGGUAAUACGUAGGGUGCAAGCGUUAAUCGGAAUUACUGGGCGUAAAGCGUGCGCAGGCGGUUUGCUAAGACCGAUGUGAAAUCCCCGGGCUCAACCUGGGAACUGCAUUGGUGACUGGCAGGCUAGAGUAUGGCAGAGGGGGGUAGAAUUCCACGUGUAGCAGUGAAAAUGCGUAGAGAUGUGGAGAAUACCGAUGGCGAAGGCAGCCCCCUGGGCCAAUACUGACGCUCAUGCACGAAAGCGUGGGGAGCAAACAGGAUUAGAUACCCCUGGGUAGUCCACGCCCUAAACGAUGUCAACUAGUUGUUGGGGAUUCAUUUCCUUAGUAACGUAGCUAACGCGUGAAGUUGACCGCCUGGGGAGUACGGUCGCAAGAUUAAAACUCAAAUGAAUUGACGGGGU
rnacentral:rRNA from 1 species